AGAUAUUGUGUGAAUUUUGCUUCUGGGGUCAGAUGGAGGUUUUCUGGAAAAUACUUUUAGGUCUAAGAUGCAUAAAUAAGUGAAUUAGAGAGAGAAGCUUAAACUUUCACCGGUUGGUGUUUGUACUGAAUGUUAAUGAGUUUCUCACUGUAGUGGAUUUAUGGUGGAAGAGGCAGCAUCAGUGUUGGCACCAUUAAACCUGUUUGUAUCACUGUGGAGGACUUUUGGUGGAGGAACCAAACUGUCUGUGGGCCGUCUCACCCAGCCCACUGUGACAGUGCUGCCUCCCUCCAGUGUGGACCUGCAGCAGGAGAAGGUCACACUCAUGUGUGUGGCCUAUAAGGGCUUCCCCUCGGACUGGAGGCUGAGCUGGAAGGUUGAUGGGAGCAGCUUGAGCUCGGGGGAGAGCCACAGCACCGCCGUUCUGCACGCGGACGGCCUCUACAGCUGGAGCAGCACGCUGAGCAUCCACCCGGAGCAGUGGAGGAACAAGGUGGUGACCUGUGAGGCCUCCAAUGACAACCAACCUCCUGUGGUGAGCUCAGUGGACAGAGAGCAGUGCUAAGAGCUGUGAGCUCACACACACUUUACUCAGCUCACCUUCUACUGCUUCACUGUGUGUUACAUGUGGCCCACUUUCAUAAUUUCAUUUGCGUUAUUAACGGGAGCUCACACACUCCUCAGUUUAAAUCAGCUCUUCUUCUUCAUUAUCACCUAAAUAUGUGUUAAGUGUGUGUAUCACUGCAAUGUUCUGCUUUGAAUUAUUAAUAAAAGCCUUUGAAUCAGUAAA